rnacentral:piRNA from 1 species
UGAACAUGUAUGUUCAGUGUGUCCAGCUUU